CACGUAGGGGCGCAAGCGUUGUCCGGAAUUAUUGGGCGUAAAGAGCUCGUAGGCGGUCUGUUGCGUCCGCUGUGAAAACUCGGGGCUUAACCCCGAGCCUGCAGUGGAUACGGGCAGACUAGAGGUAGGUAGGGGAGAAUGGAAUUCCCGGUGUAGCGGUGAAAUGCGCAGAUAUCGGGAGGAACACCGGUGGCGAAGGCGGUUCUCUGGGCCUUACCUGACGCUGAGGAGCGAAAGCGUGGGGAGCGAACAGG
rnacentral:rRNA from 1 species